CUCCCUCUGCCCCUCCCCACUCAUGCUCUCUCAGCGCACUCUCUCUCUUUCUCAAAUCUUAAAAAGCGAGAAAUGGCAGCACCUCAGCGUUUGUCUCUCUUCCAGAUCUGCCAGUUGAACAGGGACAGUGAUGCCCCCUCUCCACUUCCUGCUCCCCAGUUCCGCCUCCUCAAGGGAAAAGCCAAGUCACGAAAAGGGCAGUACUUAUGUUCAGACUUGAAGUGUCAUUUUCCCUCAUCACGGCCCAAAUCAUGAAAAGGAGCCAGGACGCUAUUUUUAAGCGACAAGAAAAUUGAGGCUGAAAGGUGAAGUAACUUGCUUGAGCUUGCCGCAUGCGUAAAUGGCAGGACUGGGAUGUGACCAGAGCCAGCUCCAUCAGUGGAGCCCAGAGCAAAAGGAAGGUGUGCAAAACGGCUCUGCACCGCUAACCCACGGCAGGAAUGGAAGAAGGUGGUGCUGCCGCGGAGGAGGAAGCUGAAAGGAUCUGCCUGGCCUCAGCUCCUGUGAAUGGGUAGGAAAAUGCACUUUGGCCCGGGUGUGGUCAGCCAUGGAGAGAGCCAACCAGCCCCUCCUCACCUGCAUGGGCGGGGCCGGGGAUGGACGGAGGGCUCCGCCUAUUUCCACUCACUCACCUCUCUGCCCAUUCACUCAGGCAUCCCCCAUUCACGGAGCCCCUCAACAACACUCAGGUUUUCUUCUCAUUUUGGGGUCUCUCUCUCUCGAUCUUCUUUUUUUCCCUUUUAAUUUACUUUAAUUAAUUUAUUUUAAAAGAUUUUAACUGUUUAUGUUGUCUCUGCAUCCAAUAUGGAGCUCAAAUCUGUAACCGCGAGACUGAUACUGACCGUGCCCACCAGUGGGGCAAGCCCCAACCCCUUUUAUUUUAUUUUAUUUAUACUUUUUUUUUAAGAUUUUAUUUAUUUUAUUUGACAGACAGA